GCCUGGAUAGCUCAGCUGGUUAGAGUGUGGUGCUAAUAAUGCCAAGGUUGCAGGUUCGAUCCCUGUUAGGGGCA